UUCCUUUCUUCAUUUUUCAUUAGUAUGGUUGUAAUUUACUUUACUGAGAACUUACGAUGCUAACUCGGACAAUUGCUGUGAAACUGACAUUUUCGACUCGAUUUAUUUACUUUUGAUGCCUCGCACUAUUUUUCUUACUGAAUUAGGCCAAAAUUCUUCUUCCAACAAAUUAAAAAACAAAACAAAACAAAACGACUGUCUGUGCGGUAAGCUGAGGGUUUCUGAUGUAUCGCAAAGAUUGCGUCUAAUACUCCUCUGUUCAAGUUACGUGUACUGCGCACAUAUGGUUAUGGUACUGACAGGGUGAUAUUACGAACUGCUGUAAGUCCUUAAAACUACAUAAAGAGAGUAUGCUAUGCCUCGUUAUAUAUACGAGCAAAGUUUUUGACGGUUUCAUUAAAAUCACUUAUAUUAUAUUAUUUCUGCCAGCAUCCUUUUGUUACGUUUGGUCGACCCGUGAUUAGAGAUAAACCCAAUUGUUAAAAAUAUACAUAAAACCUCUGUAAUAGAAUAUUUAUUAUAUUUGGCGAUCCCGGUGCAUAAAUUCCCACUGCAUACAAUGAUAUGCCGAUUAUAUAAUAGAACAAGUUAACAAAACGAUAUUUGGUCCUUUC